GUUUUUAUAGUUGAAUUACAACGAUGAUUUUUCAUGUCAUUGGUCACAGUUAAGUGCUGUGUAGAAACA
rnacentral:tRNA from 1 species